UGAUAUUUGCAUAUAUCUUGUUUAUGCACAGACUAAUAUUAUCCUAUACAGGAUGAUUGCUGCCAACUCUGUGUUUGAUUCUUUCUGGAUAAAUGGGGAAAGAUUUCAAUCACAGCUAUAGCUAGAACUCUACGCAACAGAGCUACGCCUACUCUUGAAUCUCUUGAAGACCAUUGUUUAGUGUCCAAGCUAUAUAAAGUUCAACUAAACUUCAAGAGAAGCUAAAACUAAUGGAGAGCCUAAACUGCAGGAUAUAAAAGAGCACUAAACUAAACCUGGAAAAGCCCACAAUUUUCCACCACUUUGGAUGCUGUAAGAAGAAUUUGCUCAAUAAAUGCUAAAUACAG
rnacentral:lncRNA from 1 species